rnacentral:rRNA from 1 species
UACGGGGGGGGCAAGCGUUGUUCGGAAUUACUGGGCGUAAAGGGCUCGCAGGUGGCCAACUAAGUCAGACGUGAAAUCCCUCGGCUUAACCGGGGAACUGCGUCUGAUACUGGAUGGCUUGAGGUUGGGAGAGGGAUGCGGAAUUCCAGGUGUAGCGGCGAAAUGCGUAGAUAUCUGGAGGAACACCGGUGGCGAAGGCGGCAUCCUGGACCAAUUCUGACGCUGAGGAGCGAAAGCCAGGGGAGCAAACGGG